rnacentral:rRNA from 1 species
UACAGAGGGGGCAAGCGUUAUUCGGAAUUAUUGGGCGUAAAGGGCGCGUAGGCGGCUUGGCAAGUGGAUGGUGAAAUCCCUCGGCUUAACCGAGGAACUGCCGUCCAAACUGCUUCGCUUGAGACCGGGAGAGGUGAGUGGAAUUCCCAGUGUAGCGGUGAAAUGCGUAGAUAUUGGGAGGAACACCAGUGGCGAAGGCAGCUCUCUGGGACGGUACUGACGCUGAGACGCGAAAGCGUGGGGAGCGAACAGG